CAGUCGUGGGGCACAGGACUGUAGCAUACAGUUGCUGGCGACCGGCAAACGGGUGCGGAACACGUACGCAAUCUACCCAAAACUGGUGAAUAGCCCUCCGAAAGGAGGAUUAAUACACCGUAACCUAUUGAAGUGGCAUCACUUUAUUAGUAUAGCUCCGGCGGUUUUGGAUGAGCGUGCGGCGGAUUAGAUAGUUGGCGGGGUAACGGCCCACCAAGUCUGCGAUCAGUAACUGGUGUGAGAGCACGACCAGUCACACGGGCACUGAGACACGGGCCCGACUCCUACGGGAGGCAGCAGUAAGGAAUAUUGGUCAAUGGACGCAAGUCUGAACCAGCCAUGCCGCGUGGAGGAUGAAGGCCCUCUGGGUUGUAAACUUCUUUUAUCUGGGACGAAACCCUCAUAUUCUUAUGAGACUGACGGUACCAGAGGAAUAAGCACCGGCUAACUCCGUGCCAGCAGCCGCGGUAAUACGGAGGGUGCAAGCGUUAUCCGGAUUCACUGGGUUUAAAAGGUGCGUAGGAGGGCAGGUAAGUCAGUGGUGAAAUCUCCAAGCUUAACUUGGAAACUGCCGUUGAUACUAUCUGUCUUGAAUAUUGUGGAGGUGAGCGGAAUAUGUCAUGUAGCGGUGAAAUGCUUAGAUAUGACAUAGAACACCAAUUGCGAAGGCAGCUCACUACACAAUCAUUGACUCUGAAGCACGAAAGCGUGGGGAUCAAACAGGAUUAGAUACCCUGGUAGUCCACGCCCUAAACUAUGGAUACUCGACAUACGC
rnacentral:rRNA from 1 species